CACAGUCGAUCUGUCACUGUGAAUACGGUUCAGUCGGCUCACAGCCCCAGAUCGCCUCCGCGGCGCGAAGGGCGUGAGUAUCGGCGAGAUCAAUAUGGCGACAGGCUCGACCGAGAUGAUAGGCGUCGAGUGCCCUAUUCCCCUCCGAGGGGUGGGUCUUACGCUCCUCGGCAGCCAGAUGAUAGGCGUCAGUACAGUACAGGGCGUAGAGUUCCAGUUGACCCCAGGGAGCCAGGCUUCGACGCGCGAUCCAUUAUCGUGCAAGGGUUGGUCGACCGGAACAGAGCCCAUCGUGGUGCACUCGACAGAGAAGUGCCCACGAGCAGUCGAGUACAUGUUUCUGGUCCUGAAUGUUUCAGCGGAGCUAUCAGAGCCGCUGUUAUUCCCCCCAAUUUCAGGUUGGCAACAGGAGUCAGCAAGUUCACUGGUGAGUCUAAGCCUGAAACUUGGCUUGAAGACUACCGAGUGGCAGUUCAGAUCGGUGGUGGGAACGACGAGGUGGCCAUGAAGCAUUUGCCCCUCAUGUUGGAAGGUUCUGCCAGGGCAUGGUUGACCCAAUUACCUUCUAGCAGUAUUUACACUUGGGAAGAUCUGUCCCGAGUGUUCGUCAGAACGUUCGAAGGGACUUGCAAGCGACCAGCGGGAUUGACAGAGUUGCAAGUCUGCGUGCAGAAAACCAAUGAGACUCUCAGAGAGUAUAUUCAGAGGUGGAUCACUUUGCACCACACUGUGGAAAAUGUCUCUGACCAUCAGGCAGUAUGCGCCUUCAAAGAUGGUGUCAAGAACAGAGAACUGAGCUUGAAAUUUGGUCGAACCGGUGACAUGACCUUGAGUCGGAUGAUGGAGAUUGCUACCAAGUACGCCAACGGCGAAGAAGAAGACCGACUCCGAAGCGGCAAGCACAAGCCGAGUCAGUCGGAAAAAGGAAAUUCCAGUCGGAAACAGAAGCGGAAGGCUGAACCAGCAGCUCCUGGAGAGGCUCUGGCCGUGACUCAAGGAAAGUCUAAGGGGAAACCAAAAGGAUCCUGGAACCCUAAGAAGGUGAAGGAUAAAGAAGGGAACGACGUGAUGGAUAUGCCGUGUCAUAUUCACACGAAGAAAGAUGAAGAGGGGAAUAUCAUUUACCCAAAGCACACCACUCGCCAAUGUCGACUCCUGAUCCAGCAGUUUCAGGGAAAACAGUCUAAGGACAAGGAGAAG
rnacentral:rRNA from 1 species